ACUUCUGACGAAAACCUAGCUAAUAUAAUCGAAGAAUACGUUCCAGCUUCAUCGGCGGCAUCGAAUAAUAAUAGGGAAUUGAAGAUUAGAGCGAUUCUGUUUCCUAAUUUAAAGUCUGUUAAUAAAAAAGUUCAUCCGCCACUGCCGCCUGUUUCUUCUUCUUGCUCUAGCGUUGGUUCAACCUCAGGGAGUAUUGCAUCAAUACUGUCGUCGUCGUCGUUGGCAAUUGGAUUUCCGUUUCAACGCAAUAUUCCUUGCUACUUCGGAGAGGAUGCCUGUUAUAGGAAUUCUAUGCUUUGAAGCGACGUUGUAGCGGACAAGAUGGAAAUUCACUUAGGUGCUUCUGCUUUGUUGCGGUUAAAAAGGAGGACAAAAAUAUCCGAAGGACUGUUCUAAACAGUGUUGUGGGAACUCUGGACCUCAGCGUCCGUCAACUUUUGCAAGGAGAAAGAUAUCCAGGGGAGGUGAAAAGGGUAUCUGCUAUCUUGGCUAGCCAAGUGCAUUACGGAACACACCAAUAUGCUUACAUUGCUAAUGUUAGUGUUUCUAAGUUUGCUCGACGUCAGGGAAUAGCUUCAAAUAUGCUACAGUUUGCAACAGAUGUUGCUAAUUUGGCAAGUUUGUUUCUUUUAUUACUUGUAAAUGUUACUUAAUGUCUAACAUUUUGUCUAAACAGGUAUGAGGAAACUAUUUGUACAUGUAAAUGUGGAGAAUGAGGUUGCUCAAGAAUUGUAUAAAAAAACUGGUUUUAAGGUUUGCAUCUUUUACCAAUAGUAACUUCUUUUUUGUCCCUAUCGAGUAUUGAACACAUGACAUAUUGACAUGCAUGUUCUUCAUUGAACAAUUGAUCUGUAUCUUUGCAACUUCUUUAUGAUUUAGGUCAUUUCUUGCAGUUUCCUCGAAAUCGUGUUGAUAACAUAUAAGAGUUUACUUUUGUCCAUUAUAUACCAUAUUAUGUUCCGAGUGUUUGUUUGCAGGUUGUUGAAGCAGCUUCAUCUAGCAGAGGUUACAGCUACAGUGGAAUCAAUUUUCGUCUUCAAAUGACGAACAUGGUUCAUUGAUUGAGCCAAAAAAGCGGCUCCCCAAGCAAAAUUUUUUAUUUCAUCAAUGUUUCUCAAAAGACCGAGAAACAUGGAUGAAACACCGGAGGGAUUCAUCGACGGACAUAUAAAACAUCCUAUUACGUGCAACACAUAGGCGCGCACAUAUAUGUCAAUAUCCUCCAAAUUCAUGGGGAUAUUCUGCAGAAGAACGAUCCGGCGUUUGAUGGUUUCCGGCGGCUACUGUGGUUUCCGACUGCGGCGGCUGCUGUGGUUUAGGCUGCGGCGACUGCGGGCGUAGUAAAAUAAUAAAUAAGUAUCAAAAUUAGAAAAACCAGAAAAGAAUUCUUGAAAUACCUCAAUCCGGCGGCAGCGGGCAGGCGGUUUCCGGCGGCUGCGGCUGAUUUCCGGUUGCAGGUGUGCAGAGAUUGGAAGAGGAUUGGAAGAGAAAUGUUUGAAGGUGAAGAGAGGGUGGGUUGUGCUGCAAUCUAUAUAUGUGCGAUCUAUGUAUAAAAUAUUAUAUAAUUAUAUAUUAUUUUAUAUUUAUAUAUAAUAAAUAUAUAUAGUAAAUAGAGAUUGUCAGUGACAUUCACUAUUCACAUUCACAAGGAAUUCCUAAUCGGUGAGGCAAUAGGAAGUGCAAAAAUUCUCUUCUCAACUCCUCCUCCGCUACGUCGGCGGCCACAUAAGAAUCCUCUCCGUCGAUCGUUUCAUAACCAUCGCAGAUCUGAUGAUGAAAUUUGAAGAAUCGUGUGGAUUUCGUGUGAAUUUGAAAUGUAAACUUCCAAACGAAGAUCUAGACGUGCUUGUUUCCAUCACUUCUGACGAAAACCUAGCUAAUAUAAUCGAAGAAUACGUUCCAGC